rnacentral:rRNA from 1 species
GCUUGACAUCCCGGGAAUCCCGCCGAAAGGCGGGAGUGCCCUUCGGGGAGCCCGGAGACAGGUGUUGCAUGGCUGUCGUCAGCUCGUGUCGUGAGAUGUUGGGUUAAGUCCCGCAACGAGCGCAACCCUUGUCCCUAGUUACCAGCGGUUCGGCCGGGCACUCUAGGGAGACUGCCGGUGACAAGCCGGAGGAAGGUGGGGACGACGUCAAGUCAUCACGACCUUUAUGCCUGGGGCUACACACGUGCUACAAUGGCCGGUACAAAGGGUUGCGAACCCGCGAGGGGGAGCUAAUCUCAAAAAGCCGGUCUCAGUUCGGAUUGGAGUCUGCAACUUGACUCCAUGAAGCCGGAAUCGCUAGUAAUCGCGAAUCAGCUACGUCGCGGUGAAUACGUUCCCGGGCCUUGUACACACCGCCCGUCACAUGACCCGAGUCGGGUGCACCCGAA